GAUCCUGGCUUAGGAUGAACGCUGGCGGCGUGCCUAAUACAUGCAAGUGAAACGGGUAUCUUCGGAUACCAGUCGCGGACGGGUGAGUAAUACAUAGGCAACCUGCCUUUAUGAGGGGGAUAACCGAGGGAAACUUUGGCUAAUACCGCAUGAAGACUCUAAGGCAUCUUAGAGGGAUAAAAGUUGGGAAACAACGCAUGAAGAUGGGCUUAUGGCGCAUUAGCUAGUUGGUGAGAUAGAAGCCCACCAAGGUAAUGAUGCGUAGCCGACCUGAGAGGGUGAACGGCCACAUUGGGACUGAGACACGGCCCAAACUCCUACGGGAGGCAGCAGUAGGGAAUUUUCGGCAAUGGGGGGAACCCUGACCGAGCAACGCCCGCGUGAAGGAAGAAGGUUUUCGGAUUGUAAACUUCUGUUAUAAGGGAAGAACGGAUUGGAUAGGGAAUGAUCUGAUAGUGACGGUACCUUAUUAGAAAGCCACGGCUAACUACGUGCCAGCCGCCGC
rnacentral:rRNA from 1 species